UGAUUGAAGGUGUAGGGCACGUUAAAUUUUGAAUUUAAAAGAAAUAAUUUAUUUUAUUUCAAUCAA
rnacentral:tRNA from 1 species